UGAUGAAUAAAUUCAGGCGGACUGGUC
rnacentral:piRNA from 1 species